AUAUGUGCUAUCAUCCACCUCAGUAGAACAUCAACACUCACCUGAGCACAGGUGACAGCAUGAAACGCUUUACAUGUGUGAUGGGUGACACCUGUAGGGUGUGGCUCUUCCAUUAAGGCCCCUUUAAAUAGGAGUGGGCGGGGCUGCCCAGCAGUGCCAGAUUCUUGUGGGUGGCCAGGUUGACUGCUGGGCCCACGCUGUUUGUGCAGCAGCUGUGAGCCACUGGGGGCUGCAGUAUCUGAAGGUAGACCUACAGGGUAAAUGACUGAGUGUGGGUCCUCGAUACCACAGGUAUGGGGUAUUUUAUUGCUUUUGAUGUUUUAAAGAACUGGGUAUUUUAACAACUGAUUGUUUUUAUUGUUUUUAUUCCCCAGUCAUCAUACCGCUACCUGCUGUCCUUCUUAUAUUGUGUUUUUAGUAUUUUUACUCCAGUUCGUCUGCAAGACGCAGACUAACUGCUUUUACAUUUUUUUUUUAUUUUUAUUUGUGGUCACUUCCGGGUCUGUAAUUUCUGUUUGCCAGCCGAUUAGUUUUUAGCAUGUGCAUGUGUGUAUUGUCUGUCAUUUUAUAAGUUUUUACCUUUUUAUCCUUUUAAACUGUUUGCAGUGCUUGCAGCAAGUUGCUGCCUUAAAUGCAUGUUUUAUCUCGGCUCAGGACAACAGUUGAACAUUUUAAAGACCAGGAGUGCUGUAACAAUAAAUAUUGUCAAUUUAUUUGAACA